rnacentral:rRNA from 1 species
CCUAAGGUAGCGAAAUUCCUAGUCGGGUAAGUUCCGACCCGCACGAAAGGUUUAACAACGGGAGCGCUGUCUCGGGGAGGCAGCCGGCGAAAUUGUAGUGGCGGUGAAGAUGCCGCCUACCCGCAGUUGGACGAAAAGACCCCGGAACCUUUACUGCAGGCUGGUAUUGAAUUUUGGUCCGGUAUGUGUAGAAUAGGUGGGAGGCUGUGAAUCCCGGACGCCAGUUCGGGGGGAGCCACCAGUGAAAUACCACCCUUACCGUACUAAGGUUCUAACCCCCCGAUUUAUCGGGGGAGACAGUGCCAGUUGGGCAGUUUAACUGGGGCGGUUUCCUCCUAAAAGGUAACGGAGGAGCCCAAAGGUAGGCUCAGUCCGAUUGGAAACCGGACGUUGAGUGUAAGGGCAUAAGCC